rnacentral:rRNA from 1 species
GUCACGCUGUAAACGAUGUCGAUUUGGAGUUUGGGGGCAUGACCCUUGGGCUCCGGAGCUAACGCGUUAAAUCGACGCCUGGGGAGUACGGCCGCAAGGUUAAAACUCAAAUGAAUUGACGGGGGCCCGCACAAGCGGUGGAGCAUGUGGUUUAAUUCGAUGCAACGCGAAGAACCUUACCUGGUCUUGACAUCCAUAGAAUCUUUCAGAGAUGAGAGAGUGCCUUCGGGAGCUAUGAGACAGGUGCUGCAUGGCUGUCGUCAGCUCGUGUUGUGAAAUGUUGGGUUAAGUCCCGCAACGAGCGCAACCCCUAUCCUUUGUUGCCAGCACGUAAUGGUGGGAACUCAAAGGAGACUGCCGUUGAUAAAGCGGAGGAAGGUGGGGACGACGUCAAGUCAUCAUGGCCCUUACGACCAGGGCUACACACGUGCUACAAUGGCGUAUACAAAGGGAUGCGAAGGUGCGAACUGGAGCGGACCUCACAAAGUACGUCUAAGUCCGGAUUGGAGUCUGCAACUCGACUCCAUGAAGUCGGAAUCGCUAGUAAUCGUGAAUCAGAAUGUCACGGUGAAUACGUUCCCGGGCCUUGUACACACCGCCCGUCACACCAUGGGAGUGGGUUGCACCAGAAGUAGAUAGCUUAACCUUCGGGAGGGCGUUUACCACGGUGUGGUUCAUGACUGGGGUGAAGUCGUAACAAGGUAACCA